AUUACCUUUGUAUUGCUUGGGUUUAUUGCUAGGCCGAUUUCCUCGGUAGUAUUUUCCAACGUUAUUGACGUGUUUGCUAGUGUCUGUUAGCGAGUUUCCUAUGAUAUCCAAAUCAUCUGUGAAUCCAAGUCCACACAGGCUGAUAUUGACGUUGUGUUCUACGUACUGCAUCUCUUUUACAACUUUUUCUAGUGCCAGGUUGAAUUCUAUUGGAUACAUUGCACCCUCUUGCUUCAAUCCUGUGUCCACUUUAAAGGAUAUACUUUGUGUUGUCCACUCUCACUCUGUACUAUAAUUUCUCAAUAUAAAGUUUGCUUUGUCUAACUAGUUGUUUUUUGGGGAACCUAAACUCAUUCAUUAUGUUCUAUAAGCUUUCCCUAUGGAUACUGUGGCAUACUUUUCUAAAAUCAUAAAUUCCACUAAAAUUCCAAAAUACAUCAAUAUACAUAUCAAAUGCAUAUCUGAAGCAGCAAUCAAGGCCAAGAAAGGAGCAGAAACAAUAUGGUUGAACCCUGAAAUAAAAUUGUUAUUCAGCAGAAAACACGUAAUAGUAAAAAUAGGCU